GACGAACGCUGGCGGCGUGCCUAAUACAUGCAAGUCGAGCGCUGACGGAUGGUACUUGUACCAACUGGAUGAGCGGCGAACGGGUGAGUAAAGCGUGGGGCAUCUGCCUUUGAGCGGGGGACAACAUUUGGAAACGAAUGCUAAUAAUGCAUAAAACCUUUAAACACAAGAUUUAAGUUUGAUAGAUGCAAUUGCAUCACUCAAAUAUGAUCCCGCGUUGGAUUAGCUAGUUGGUGAGGUAAAGGCUCACCAAGGCGAUGAUACAUAGCCGACCUGAGAGGGUGGUCGGCCAAAAUGGGAAUGGGACAAGGCCCAAGAUUCUACGGGAGGCAGCAGGUGGGAAUUUUUGGCAAUGGAGGGAAGGCUGACUCAGCAACUCCGCGGUAGUGAAGGAGGGUUUCGGAUCGGAAAACUCUGUUUGUAGGGAAGGACAAGGAGGAGGUUGAAAAGCUCAUCUAGUGACGGUAACCACCCAGAAAGGAACGGCUAACUACGUG
rnacentral:rRNA from 1 species